CCAUCCUCCUCCCCCUCAGCCUUGUCCACCUCCCAGUUCCCCAACCUUUUACCCCCGGAUCACUAAAACCCUUGCUUACCUCCAAUUCAAACCUACAAGUUUCUCUUGACUAUGAAACUCGGAUUGAAGAUUCAGGUAAACACGCUAAAUGCCUCCGAUUGAAUCGAAUUGAAGAUUCAAGUUUCAACAAGCCUAAGUGGAAACGUCGCUCACUCUAGGUCUAGCUUGAUGCCAUCCAUAUUCAAUGCUAGUGCCGUUGUUUGCUGGUUCAACCAAGGUCACAUACGGACUUUCACAGAUCAUGGAUCAACUCGGGAAAGAAGAAUAAGUACUCUACUUCACCAGCUGAAGAAGCCAGGUUUGGCGUAACUGUUGACUUGGAUGAGAUCAGCUGUUUGCACAUACUCAAAAUCGAAGUUCACAACUACAUCAUGCCAGGGAAGGACAAUUUCUCAGGCCAGACAUAUAUGUUUGCCUGUGACCAAGCUGAGACGGCAUACGUUCUAUUCCACUGUAUGAUCACUAAGGCGAGAGACUAGUUGCAGUUACACUUCUCAUGCGGUUUAGUUUGUUUGUAACAUAGCUUCUUUCUUCUUAUUAUCAUCAUCUAGAGAGUUUGUAUAGUUUAGAGACUUCCAAAAUAUGUUAUCAACAAAUUGAUGUCUGUUAAGUGAAUAUUAUUG